UGGGGAAUAUUGCACAAUGGGGGAAACCCUGAUGCAGCGACGCCGCGUGAGCGAUGAAGGCUUUCGAGUCGUAAAGCUCUGUCCUAUGGGAAGAUAAUGACGGUACCAUAGAAGAAAGCCCCGGCUAAUUACGUGCCAGCAGCCGCGGUAAUACGUAAGGGGCGAGCGUUGUCCGGAAUUAUUGGGCGUAAAGAGUGCGUAGGCGGCAAAUUAAGUCAGAUGUGAAAACUAAGGGCUCAACCCAUAGAUUGCAUCUGAAACUGAUAUGCUUGAGUCAAGGAGAGGAAAGUGGAAUUCCUAGUGUAGCGGUGGAAUGCGUAGAUAUUAGGAGGAAUACCGGUGGCGAAGGCGACUUUCUGGACUUGAACUGACGCUGGGGGACGAAAGCGUGGGGAGCGAACAGG
rnacentral:rRNA from 1 species